AGUUUUCUGGUUGAAUCUGUCAGCUUAGAGGGAAAAGGGAAUUAACAAAACAGUUAAGUGCUUACAGUGACUUUAAAGCCCACACACUUAUCCAGUAAAAUAACUUUGUAUUGUGGGCUUUAGAAAGCCCGAGGUUUGGUGUGUUAGUCUUAAAAUUUCUAGUCUAUUCUAUCCAUAAAGAAAAGUAAGCUUGCUUACCAAAUAAACAAACAUUAUCAGAUAAUAUUUUACUUAAAAUCAAUCUUUGAAAAAGUAAAAAUACAACUGUGUCUAAGGUUCCCAAUAUUGCUGGUCCUAAUAGAUUUUGCUCUGAGACUCUCACAUAAGCCAUGUAUCCUCUUGUGCAAAAAAGCAAAUCUACUAACAAUUUCUUAUAUUUUCUUUCUUUCUUUUUUUUUUUUUUGUAAGGGCCACACCUGCGGUAUAUGGAGGUUCCCAGGCUGGGCUGAAUCAGAGCUGUAGCCACUGGCCUACACCACAGCCACAGCAACACCAGAUCCAAGCCUCAUCUGCAACCACAUCUCACAGCAACACCAAAUCCUUAACCCAUUGAGUGAGGCCAGGGAUGGAACCUGCAUCAUCCCUCAUGGAUACUAGUCGAUUCAUUUCUGCUGAGCCACGAUAGUAACUCCAUUUUCGAGGGCUUCAUAAAUUCUAUAAAAUAUACGAGCAAACUUGCAAAACACUAUUUAUUCUAGAGAUCAUAUUGGUAUGUACAUACGAAUUGUUUAAAAAUGAGAGGAAUUCCCAUAUCAAAAAUUAUUUUACAAAAAGCUACAGCUUUGUCAUACCAACAAGGUAUUUUCAAAAAUCAGAUAAACUCACCCAAAUGAUUGUCUAGCAGAACAGUAAAACUAAUGAGUAAAUGAAAAUGUAUAACCUGAAGCAGUAAAUUUUCCAUUUCUUUAGACUCAACUUUGUGUUUUCAUCUAAGUGGCCCUAAGAAUCCACAGUUAACAUAACAGUCCUUUUCCCAAAGUCUACAUUGCAUAGGUUAGUCUAAAAGCAUUCUAACUAUUCAGAUUAAUCUGAAAAACUUUUAAAAGAUUUGUUUCUAUUUUAAUUUCCAGCUCUUUGUAGAUAUAACCAAAGAGUAAAUGAAAUAUAAGAGGUACGUAUAACUUAUAAUUACUCAUAAAUUUUAGAUGAAUAUUAUACUUCUUAAAAGAUAAAUAUUUUUGAGAAAACAAUAUAAAAUGUGAUUACACAAAGAUAGAAAUCCAAAAUAAUAGCAGUAGUUAUUGCUGGGAUAGGAUAGGUCCCCUUGCUCUGUGUGCUACAGUUCCCCUUAUUUUCUAACACUAAUUGCAUUUUAAUAUGGAACCCACUUCUGUUUUGCCCACUACACUACUAUUUCCAUGAUGGUAGGAACAAUAUUUAUAUUGCUUCCAUUGCUAUUUAAAGCUUCCCUGAUAUACACUUGGUGCUCUGUAAAUAUGUGUUAAAUUGAUGCAUAUUAGUUUUAAUUCUCUUCUUCUUUUUCUUUUUUUUCAUGUUAGGGUUGUCCAUGCAGCAUAUGGAAGUUCCUGGGCUAGCGGGUCUAGCUGCAGCUGCUGGCCUACGCCACAGCCAGAGCAACCCCAGAUUCAAGUUGCGUCUGAAACCUACACUGCAUCGUAAUGCAAAGAUUAAAACCAUAAGCUCUGAAGCCAGAUUAACUGGGGUCAAAUUCCUACCAGUCAUGUGAGGGCAAAUACAUUCUCAUAUGCAAAAUGACAUAACCUCAGGUGAGGUGUUAAGUGAGUUAAUUCACACAGGGAGCUUAGAAAAAUAUCUCAUAUAUUUUACAUUCAAUAAAUAUGUAUUAUUUUUUUUUUCAUUUGGCAGCUUCAGCAUCUGUAAAAAAAUAAACACAAAUAUUCCCUAGGCCUUAAAAGGUAAUAGUCAAAUAUCAAAAGAUUUAAAGUUUAUCAAAAUGGACAUUUAGGAAAUUCAAGAAACAGAUUAAGGAAAAUAGAUCUAAAACCCUCAAAAAUCUCUGAAGGUAUCAUUGCUUAACAUAAUAGAACAAUAAUAUAGUCACAAUAAGACUAAGUCUUUAAGAACAUUUUGAAUUUUAUUCCUUGUGAUCACCUCUUAAAAAGCAGGAAAUUAUAACAAGGUAAUUUUUGGCAACACUAUUAGUAAUUUUUUCAAAUUAGUAAUUUUAAAAAAGUUUUAGGAGUUCCAUUGUGGCACAGCAGAAAUGAAUCCGACUAGGAACCAUGAGGUUGCCGGUUUGAUCCCUGGCCUCAUUCAGUGAGUAAGAAUCUGGCGUUGCUGUGAGCUACGAUGUAGGUUGCAGAUAUGGCUCUUGGAUCCUCCAUUGCUGUGGCUGUGGUGUAGGGCAGCGGCUGCAGCUCUGAUUCUACUCCUAGCUUGAGAACGUCCAUAUGCUGAGGGUGCGGCCCUAAAAAG
rnacentral:lncRNA from 1 species